rnacentral:ncRNA from 4 species
GAUUUCAGUGGAGUGAAGCACA